GACGAACGCUGGCGGCGUGCUUAACACAUGCAAGUCGAGCGGUAAGGCCCUUUCGGGGGUACACGAGCGGCGAACGGGUGAGUAACACGUGGGUGACCUGCCCUUAGCUCUGGAUAAGCCUGGGAAACUGGGUCUAAUACCGGAUAUGACUCCAUGACGCAUGUUGUGGGGUGGAAAGCCUUGUGCGGCUAGGGAUGGGCCCGCGGCCUAUCAGCUUGUUGGUGGGGUGAUGGCCACCAAGGCGACGACGGGUAGCCGGCCUGAGAGGGCGACCGGCCACAUU
rnacentral:rRNA from 1 species